UUUCGCGUCGUCAUCACAAAC
rnacentral:piRNA from 1 species